rnacentral:sRNA from 1 species
UGCUGGCGCUACAGGCGCUGGGGAAGAUGCUGCUGCUGUUGUUGCUGUUGCUGCGGGUGGUGGUGGUGGUGGUGCUGGCGCUGGUGGAGGGGGAGGGAUGGGGGAGGAAGUGUUGCGGUGUGGUGUGGAAGGGUUGAGGAUUUUGGUUGAGGGUUGAUAUGAUAUGAUGUCUUUUUUCUGUUUCUGUUUCUCCUUAUCUCCCCCUUCCACGUUGCUCUUUCGGUAUGCCGUGUGGUUAUUGUGUUUAAUUUGAUAUAAUUAUUGUGCAUCGCUCGACUUUUGGUUUGGUUUGGUUUGGUUUAUUUUGUUUUACCCUUAAUUGGUCAUUUAUUAUUUUUAAUCACUUCGCUUGUUUCUUUUGCUUUGACCUUUAUCUGUCCGUCUUGUGUUGUUAAGCUUUUUUCAUCUUUUAUCUUCGUUAUAUUUUCUCUUCAGGGGUGGUUUCUCUCUCUCUUUUCUCUAUGGCUUUCUGGUAUUUGUCCCAUAUUACUUAUUUCCCCCCUCACCUUUCGAUAUGUUAUGGGAUUUCCUUCUUUCCUUUAUCAUUCUAUUAUUGCAUGACUUGUUUCGGUGGAUAGCAGUCCGUUUUUUUUUCUUUUUUCUUUAAGUCACAACUCUUCCCUCCAUCUUCUUAACAUCCCAUACACCUUCCUUUUCAUGUUCUUUUUAUUCUUUGAUUCUCGCCAUCAAAAAGUUGACCCGACGUUUGAGAAUAGAUAGAAAUCGGGGAUAGACGUCUACGCGCAGAGGCAUUAAAUCUUCAUUUUUCUCUUCAGUGUUUACAUAUUUUCAAACAAUGGAUAGACGGG